rnacentral:rRNA from 1 species
GACGGAGGAUGCAAGUGUUAUCCGGAAAUCACUGGGCGUAAAGCGUCUGUAGGUGGUCAAAUAAGUCAACUGUUAAAUCUUGAGGCUCAACCUCAAAAUCGCAGUCGAAACUAUUCGACUAGAGUAUAGUAGGGGUAAAGGGAAUUUCCAGUGGAGCGGUGAAAUGCGUAGAGAUUGGAAAGAACACCGAUGGCGAAGGCACUUUACUGGGCUAUUACUAACACUGAGAGACGAAAGCUAGGGUAGCAAAUGGGG